AGAGUUUGAUCCUGGCUCAGGACGAACGCUGGCGGCGCGCUUAACACAUGCAAGUCGAGCGAGAACCAGGCCUUCGGGUCUGGGGAAAGCGGCGAACGGGUGAGUAACACGUGAGUAACCUGCCCUCGGCACCGGGAUAGCCCGGGGAAACCCGGAUUAAUACCGGAUAGCCAUUCGAGCUCUCGAGCGCGAAUGAAAAGGUAGCUUCGGCCUCUGGCCGAGGAUGGGCUCGCGGCGGAUUAGCUUGUUGGUGGGGUAAUGGCUCACCAAGGCGACGAUCCGUAGCUGGUCUGAGAGGACGAUCAGCCACACUGGGACUGAGACACGGCCCAGACUCCUACGGGAGGCAGCAGUGGGGAAUCUUGCGCAAUGGGCGAAAGCCUGACGCAGCGACGCCGCGUGCGGGAAGAAGGCCUUCGGGUUGUAAACCGCUUUCAGGAGGGACGAAGCCCCUCGGGUGAAUAGCCCAGAGGGUGACGGUACCUCCAGAAGAAGCCCCGGCUAACUACGUGCCAGCAGCGGCGGUAAUAC
rnacentral:rRNA from 1 species